rnacentral:rRNA from 1 species
UACGAAGGGGGCUAGCGUUGCUCGGAAUCACUGGGCGUAAAGGGUGCGUAGGCGGGUCUUUAAGUCAGGGGUGAAAUCCUGGAGCUCAACUCCAGAACUGCCUUUGAUACUGAAGAUCUUGAGUUCGGGAGAGGUGAGUGGAACUGCGAGUGUAGAGGUGAAAUUCGUAGAUAUUCGCAAGAACACCAGUGGCGAAGGCGGCUCACUGGCCCGAUACUGACGCUGAGGAGCGAAAGCAUGGGGAGCGAACGGG